rnacentral:rRNA from 1 species
AGACGUCUACAUUAGAUACCCCCGUAGUCCCAGCCGUAAACUAUGCGCGUUAGGUGUAUCGGUGACCACGAGUCACCGAGGUGCCGAAGGGAAACCGUGAAACGUGCCGCCUGGAAAGUACGGUCGCAAGGCUGAAACUUAAAGGAAUUGGCGGGGAGCACCACAACGGGUGGAGCCUGCGGUUUAAUUGGACUCAACGCCGGGAAGCUCACCGGAUAAGACAGCGGAAUGAUUGCCGGGCUGAAGACUCUGCAUGACUAGCUG